rnacentral:rRNA from 1 species
AUUGAACGCUGGCGGCAGGCUUAACACAUGCAAGUCGAGCGGAGAGAAGUAGCUUGCUACUGAUCUUAGCGGCGGACGGGUGAGUAAUGCUUAGGAAUCUGCCUAUUGGUGGGGGACAACAUUUCGAAAGGAAUGCUAAUACCGCAUACGUCCUACGGGAGAAAGCAGGGGAUCUUCGGACCUUGCGCUAAUAGAUGAGCCUAAGUCGGAUUAGCUAGUUGGUGGGGUAAAGGCCUACCAAGGCGACGAUCUGUAGCGGGUCUGAGAGGAUGAUCCGCCAAACUGGGACUGAGACACGGCCCAGACUCCUACGGGAGGCAGCAGUGGGGAAUAUUGGACAAGGGGCGGAAGCCUGAUCCAGCCAUGCCGCGUGUGUGAAGAAGGCCUUAUGGUUGUAAAGCACUUUAAGCGAGGAGGAGGCUACUUUAGUUAAUACCUAGAGAUAGUGGACGUUACUCGCAGAAUAAGCACCGGCUAACUCUGUGCCAGCAGCCGCUGUAAUAC